AGCGAACGCUGGCGGCGGGCCUAACACAUGCAAGUCGAACGCACCUUUCGGGUUUAGUGGCGGACGGGAGGGGAACACGUGGGAACGUGCCUUUAGGUUCGGUAUGACUCAGGGAAACUUGCGCUAAUACCGAAUGUGCCCUUCGGGGGAAAGAUUGCUUGAAGUUGGAGCGGCCGGCUUCUGAUUUGCUAGUUGGUUGAGGUAAUGGCUCACCAAGGUGACGAAGCGUAGCUGUGAUGAAAGGAUGCCCAGCCACAUUGGGACUGAGACACGGACCAAACUCCUACGGAAGGCAGCAGGUGUGAAUCUUGCGCGAUGGGCGAAAGCCUAACGCAGCCAGGUCGCGUAAAUGAGGAAGGUCUUAGGAUUGUAAGAUUCUUUCGCAGGGGACGAUAAUGACGGUACCCGGAGAAGAAGCCCCGGCUAACUACGUG
rnacentral:rRNA from 1 species